rnacentral:rRNA from 1 species
UGUCCAGACUCCUACGGGAGGCAGCAGUGAGGAAUAUUGGUCAAUGGCCGGAAGGCUGAACCAGCCGAGCCGCGUGAGGGAGGAAGGCGCAGAGCGUCGCAGACCUCUUUUGCCAGGGACAAAAGGCCGGACUCGUCCGGUCCUGAGGGUACCCGGAGAAAAAGCAUCGGCUAACUCCGUGCCAGCAGCCGCGGUAAUACGGAGGAUGCGAGCGUUAUCCGGAUUCAUUGGGUUUAAAGGGUGCGCAGGCGGGCCUUUAAGCCGGCGGUGAAAUGUCGGGGCUCAACCCCGGCCUGCCGUCGGAACUGGGUGCCUUGAGUGGGCGAGAAGUAUGCGGAAUGCGUGGUGUAGCGGUGAAAUGCAUAGAUAUCACGCAGAACCCCGAUUGCGAAGGCAGCAUACCGGCGCCCUACUGACGCUGAGGCACGAAAGUGCGGGUAUCGAACAGGAUUAGAUACCCUUGUA